rnacentral:rRNA from 1 species
GAGACAGCAGUCGCCGCGGGAAUACAGAGGGUGCGAGCGUUAAUCGGAUUUACUGGGCGUAAAGCGUGCGUAGGCGGCUUUUUAAGUCGGAUGUGAAAUCCCUGAGCUUAACUUAGGAAUUGCAUUCGAUACUGGGAAGCUAGAGUAUGGGAGAGGAUGGUAGAAUUCCAGGUGUAGCGGUGAAAUGCGUAGAGAUCUGGAGGAAUACCGAUGGCGAAGGCAGCCAUCUGGCCUAAUACUGACGCUGAGGUACGAAAGCAUGGGGAGCAAACAGGAUUAGAUACCCGAGUAGUCCCUGUCUCUUAUAC